GACGAACGCUGGCGGCGUGCUUAACACAUGCAAGUCGAACGGAAAGGCCCUGCUUUUGUGGGGUGCUCGAGUGGCGAACGGGUGAGUAACACGUGAGUAACCUGCCCUUGACUUUGGGAUAACUUCAGGAAACUGGGGCUAAUACCGGAUAGGAGCUCCUGCUGCAUGGUGGGGGUUGGAAAGUUUCGGCGGUUGGGGAUGGACUCGCGGCUUAUCAGCUUGUUGGUGGGGUAGUGGCUUACCAAGGCUUUGACGGGUAGCCGGCCUGAGAGGGUGACCGGCCACAUUGGGACUGAGAUACGGCCCAGACUCCUACGGGAGGCAGCAGUGGGGAAUAUUGCACAAUGGGCGGAAGCCUGAUGCAGCAACGCCGCGUGCGGGAUGACGGCCUUCGGGUUGUAAACCGCUUUCGCCUGUGACGAAGCGUGAGUGACGGUAAUGGGUAAAGAAGCACCGGCUAACUACGUGCCAGCAGCCGCGGUGAUACGUAGGGUGCGAGCGUUGUCCGGAUUUAUUGGGCGUAAAGGGCUCGUAGGUGGUUGAUCGCGUCGGAAGUGUAAUCUUGGGGCUUAACCCUGAGCGUGCUUUCGAUACGGGUUGACUUGAGGAAGGUAGGGGAGAAUGGAAUUCCUGGUGGAGCGGUGGAAUGCGCAGAUAUCAGGAGGAACACCAGUGGCGAAGGCGGUUCUCUGGGCCUUUCCUGACGCUGAGGAGCGAAAGCGUGGGGAGCGAACAGGCUUAGAUACCCUGGUAGUCCACGCUGUAAACGGUGGGUACUAGGUGUGGGGUCCAUUCCACGGGUUCCGUGCCGUAGCUAACGCUUUAAGUACCCCGCCUGGGGAGUACGGCCGCAAGGCUAAACUCAAAGGAAUUGACGGGGCCCCGCACAAGCGGCGGAGCAUGCGGAUUAAUUCGAUGCAACGCGUAGAACCUUACCUGGGUUUGACAUGGAUCGGGAGUGCUCAGAGAUGGGUGUGCCUCUUUUGGGGUCGGUUCACAGGUGGUGCAUGGCUGUCGUCAGCUCGUGUCGUGAGAUGUUGGGUUAAGUCCCGCAACGAGCGCAACCCUUGUUCACUGUUGCCAGCACGUUAUGGUGGGGACUCAGUGGAGACCGCCGGGGUCAACUCGGAGGAAGGUGGGGAUGACGUCAAGUCAUCAUGCCCCUUAUGUCCAGGGCUUCACGCAUGCUACAAUGGCUGGUACAGAGAGUGGCGAGCCUGUGAGGGUGAGCGAAUCUCGGAAAGCCGGUCUCAGUUCGGAUUGGGGUCUGCAACUCGACCUCAUGAAGUCGGAGUCGCUAGUAAUCGCAGAUCAGCAACGCUGCGGUGAAUACGUUCCCGGG
rnacentral:rRNA from 1 species